GCGGGUAUACGUUAAAAGGUAGACUGCCAGACUCCCCAUUCUGGAAGUGCGGGUUCGAGUCCCGUUAUCCGCUUAA
rnacentral:tRNA from 1 species